UGUACGUAUCUGCUGACUCUGAGGAAGAAUUAAAAAUGGCGGCUGCAGCACGAGAGCUUGAUCGAUUUCAUCGACACGAGUCAUGCGGCGAAAAAAAGAAAAGAGAGAAGAAUUCCAGAAUAAAUCUAAGAGGAUUAUUCAUUAAAUUUGUGAAACUAAACGUUAGCCACCAUGAAGAUGCCACUAUCAACACUUCUGCUGUUACUACCGUCGAGCCCCGAGAAGACAUAACUUUAGUUCAGGACGGACCAGUAUAACUGUUACCUAUCGGUAAAACGGCUGACUGCCUUAGUUCAUGCUGCUGCUAUGUCUUCUGUAAUUAUAUAUUACAAAACACAUUUAAACUCAUAUUGGAUACGUGCAUAAAUUGGAUGAUUAAUAAAUGCCUCAAAGACUUCCUUCCUUCACUCUUGAUUCUCUGACCGGAAUCUGGUUCAUACUUUGCCGCCUCAACCAGUUAAAUUUUGAUAGCAACAUAAAGCCAGUAUGGACCCAGCAGUAAGUGAUGCAGAGACAACAGAAAGACCUUGCAGCAGGACAAAUCUGCCACCUCACCUGGAUGAAUAUGAGGUUGGAUACCAGGGGACCCUCCUCCUAAAGCUUCUACCUCCUGUCCUAGCCAGCAUGGAAGCAGUUCGAGGAAGACGUCUCAUAGCGACACCAUCUCUCAUUCCAGGACCAGCAGGCAUUCAGUUACCUCAUCAGGCAUUUAUCUUCCACCAGAGCUCUCUAGUUUCCAGACUGCUGCUUUGGAGGAAGGAUUAAGCAGAGGCAGUUUGACAGUCUCAGGCAACAGGUAGAGGAAGAUUCACUUGCAGACGGGGAAUAUCAGUGGCUGCAGACACAAGUUAAAGAAGCUCAGUACAUCCAGGAGGAGGCUCUCACAGCAAAGGAGACUUUGUCCAAACGUCUAGAAAGACACAAAAGCUGCAAGAAGCCGAGACUGAGCUAGAGGUAGCGAAGCUUGUAUCAUACAUGCUUACUACAGACUCUGGCUCAUCCACUCAUCCAAUCCCUUCAGGCUCACCAGUUGGCUCUUUGGAUCGAACUCUACUCAUUCAUAGCAGUCCAGCUGCGUGUCCACAGUCUUCCUCCUUGCAUCAGCAGCUCUCCUCCCAAUUCCCAGUGGUGCCACUGCAGCCCAUCACAGCCACACUUAAAAGUCCAUAUGUGAUACAACAGGCAUUAUUCCCUCCCAUGACACCGCAUGCUCAUCCAGUGCAGCCUCCAGUUACCGGCCGACGGAUAUCAGCCCUGCCACCUCAGGCUCCAAGCUUUACUCAACCAUCCUCAUUCGUGCACCUCCCCCACACUGGGCAUUCUGGACAGCCGGGUACAGAGCUACUGUUCGCCUCGGCUUAUGGCAUCCCACAACCUAAGCUCCCAGUGUUUGAAAGUGGUAAUGAGAGUGACUUCGCCUUGUUCAAAUUGGCAUUGGACAAUUUGUUGAGUAACCACAGCUAUCUUAGUGAGCAAUACAAAUACCAUGUCUUGUUAAGACAUUUGAAACUUCCCAGUGCUCAGCAGCUAUCUAAAGCCUACAUGUAUGUGAAAGUGACUAAUUUGUCAGUUAUGGUGACCCAUAUCCGAGAUAUACCUCUGCUUUUAACCCAUCCAGAGAGUAGUGAACACACGCACAGCAAGUGGUGAACACACAUACACCCAGAGCAGUGGGCAGCUAUCGCUGCAGCGCCAGGGGAGCAAGUAGGGGUUAGGUGCCUUGCUCAAGGACACCUCAGUCGUUACGCGCCUGACCUGAGGAUCGAACCGGCAACCUUCUGGUCACGAGUCCAACCCUCUAACCAUUAGGCCACGACUGCCCCCACGACUGUACCAUCCGCAUCCAUACUCGGCUGCCCUGCAGGCACUUCAAGAUAAGUACGGGCAGCCACAACAACUUGUGCAAUCAGAGCUGGGCUCCAUCAUAAACAGUCCGUCACUUAAACUGGGUGAUGCAAAUGCCUUUGAUUCCUUUGCACUUUCUAUACAAUCAUUAGUUGGCAUGCUGAGGACUCUUGAAGGCCAGAAUGGUUACAAGCUCAUGUGUGGCUCUCAUGUGGAUCGUCUACUAGGCAAGUUGCCACCUGCCUACUGGGAGGGCUUUGUUCAAUACUGCCUCAGCAAGAGAAUUCUGCAGUUGUAUCAGUGACACCCUGCAGAACAAUCUACGCUCUGUUGAGAUCCUUGAGCCUACCAUGAGGAACAUGUACAACACUUUGACAUGUCAGUAUAGUUCAUUAUCCCAUUCACAACAAGAGCCAAAGUCAUUAUCCAAGACCUCUGGAAGCACAACCUUGGUGAGCAUAACCUCAUCUGUACAACACAUGCGGUUGCAAUUAUGAAGUAAAAUGUAAUGAACAAGAGGUUUCAUCUCAACAUAACUUUCUUUUUUAACGUUAAAAAUUUUCACGAUCAGUGUGAUUUUAUUUACUUUUUAUUUCUUUAAAAUUUAUUUCCACACCAGGUAUGUGUGUGUGUGUGUGUGUAGCUAAUUAAUUUGUAAUAUAGUUUUUUUAUACCACUACACCGAACCAGCAGACGGUUUAACAAAAAAAGUUGUCCAAUUUACCCUUUUUUUGUAACCACAGGAUAUUGUUCAGUUUGCAAGAGUGUAGUUCUGAAAACACCCUCGCGUGUGGUUCCCGCCGGUCAUUUUGCUCCCUCUCGGUAAUCCACUACAGUAUGUCGCCCCAUUAUAUAUUUCAUUCAGAAUUUGUUUGUAUGGAUGUCUUUUUAUGCAUAAAGCCCACAAAAUGUGGUGAUCAAAUUUUGUCAGAACAACUGGCAGUUGUUUGAAACUUGCACAGGUAUUUCUUAUACAGAUAUUAUAAUUUCGAUACAGAAGAGCUGCGAUAACGCGUGAAAGUCUGCGCAUCUUCAGACUCGGUUUAGCUGACAGUGCAAACUGCCACCUGCCAGUUGUUAUGAAAGCCAGCGCUUUUUCUGGCUCUGUUAAGCUGUGAAGUGCCGGGUAGGGGUGGGCGAUCUAGAAAAAAAUUCAAAUCACGAUUUUUUCCAGAUAGAUCACGAUUUACGAUUUUAUCGCGGUUCUUCUUCAAGUUGGUUUUAAGACUAUUUUGCAAAUUAAAGGGGCUUCAAUACAGCCAAACUAAGUCCCCAUAUAAAAAUAUACUCUUUACCAUUUAUAUUAUGAAGAAUAUUUUAAUCAGGUUAAUAUUUAAUGCAAGUGCAAGACCAUAAAUCAGCUGUUAGCAAAAAACUUUACAUUUUGAAUUUUGUUUUUCAUCUUGUUGCGGCACUCGGAGUAAAGCUGUGGAAUGGGCGUGGAGGAUAAAUAUUUUUGGCUGGGUAUUUCGUAACAUGGAUCUACGACUUUGAGCAGUUUUUUAAAGCCCUCAUUUUCCACAGUCUUUAUGGGAAUCAUAAAGAGUUCCUUUCUCAAAUGGUUCUUUCGCUAAAGUCGUUGUUUAAGCCUUUUAGUUUCCGUAUGCUUGGUUGUACCUGAUUUACUCGCGUGGGAUCCCUUUAUAAUUUGACUGUCGGCAUUCUCUUUCAGUCCCUUUUAUUUUGAGAUGGUUAAAAAGGUUCGUUGUGUUGCCUUACGACGCUCGAAUCUUAUCAUUGCCACAUUUGCAAAUAACUGUUGUUUGGGCCGUGUCAGUUGGGGAAAACCCAAACCAUUUCAUUAUUACUGAUGUAGAAUUUUUUAGGGACCAAGUCCUCCGUGUUUCCCUCCAUCUUCACUGACCGCGUCACUUAAUCUUACUGAAUUCACAAGCAACGUAUACGAGCUUGUUAACAUGGCGCAAUCUAUCGCAAGUAUGUUGACGAAUUCUAUAGAACACUACUAUAUAGGACGAUUUAACGAUUUUCCCGAAAAAGUGGAUCGUGCAGUCAUUUUAAUCGUUCACGAUCUAAUAUCGUCAUAUCGCACACCCCUAGUGCCGGGUCACAUGACCUGCCAGUGCCAGGAGUGCCGGGUCAUGUGACCCGCCAGUGCCAGGAGUGCUGGGUCACGUGACCUGCCAGCGGCAGCUCCUGCCAGCAAAGCUGAAGAUUGAACCCCUAUAGGUUAUUUGGUGUGAGUUUAAUUUGGGCACAGUAGGAGCUUGUAAACGAGUCUCAUGUGUGGGACGAUCUGUAGUACGCAUUUGGGUGCACGUCUCAUAUUCGUGUACAUGCAUGCUUUUCAAGUGGUGAAAGAGAUUGCUGGUGUUUCCACCUUUGGCUGCAACAACACGGCGACAUAGGUCGAUGUCGGAGAUUUUUAACCCAAACCAGUUCCAUACGACAGAGGAGCCCCCCCUUUUUUUUCACUAAUUCCUCCUGGUGCUGUAAAACAAUCUCAUUUUCUGGGCAUUCGCUCAUCUUUUUCACUCAAAUCUCAUGUUCAAUCUCAUGAAUUCGCGAACGCAAGCUGCAGUUUCUUAUGCACACUUGAAUGUUGCUGUGGCGUGUUUGAGUAACGUUCGGCGUGUUGUGCUAUAGGCUAACUUGGACUGUUACGGCGCUCUCUGUUUGAUUAUUAAUGCCUGUGUAGCGAGGAGUUGGACAUAGAGGACAAAAGAUUAAACGUUCAAACUCGACAUAUCUUCAUUAGCAGUGUAAACGGAUGACAAAUUGAACAAAACGUUGUAAAUGCAAAAUUAGAUUUCACGAAUAUAUAACGUAUGCAUGAUAUAGCAAAAUUCAUAUCAUGGCGCAAAAUAUUACAGGUUGUCACGUACAUACCGGUAUAUCGCCCAGUCCUAUUACACAUAUUCUUUUUCUGUUGCACAAAAUAUAUUUGUGUUGCACAUAUUUCCCUUUCUAUUGCACAUUAAACUAGUUGGAUCCUACUUCAUCUGGCAAAAUAUCCUGGGAAACCCGGGCUGUUCUUUAUAAAAAGCCCAAAAUCCAUUCCAGUCUGCAGAGACAAAUAUGAAAAAGAUAUUAAUCACUGUAACAUUCGCUGUUAUAGCAUUGAAAACAUGAACCAUCACAUUCAGAUCUAAAACUUCAGAUACAAACUGAAUCAAAUGUAACAUUGAUAGUGACAUGUGCAGGUGUUUUGGCAACUAGAGGCACAUACUUCAGUCCUGAGGGUUGAACAGGUCUGGAUGGUGGGAAACUUGGGAGAAGUGGACGUGAUCCUGCAAACAAGCCAGAACAAGACAAUUAAAUAAAAUAUGCAUUUGCACCAAGUGGGCAUUAGACUUCUAAACAGUCCAUGAAGACAUGAGGUGAAGACUUAAGAUCAUUUAAGGUUCUGUGAUGUAAACGGUUUAGUGAUCCUCGUAUCUCUCCUACAAUAUGUGAAGCUCACUCACCUCCGCGGGUCUCCAGGCCUGAAAUGCUCAAGCUGAGGGCGCAAAGGCUCAAGCUGAGGGCGCCCUCUAUUGAGCACUUAAGGGAGCGUCAACUGCAGAAGCAAAAUGCUUACUGCAGACACUGUGUCCUUCGCAGGCACUUAUGUGGGUUAAAAUACAUUCAUUUAUUACCUUUCGCGCUGCCUGUUUCCUCCUCCACAGGUCCACCGCAGACAGAGGAAUGAUCUCUUCUCUCUUAGCUAAGUCCAUAACGAUAAAUCAGUCAAUAAGACUUUCUGAUGCAAAGAUGAUUGAAGGCAUGCACACACAAAAUCUAUAACAAACACUUACGUGGACUUCUGUGGAUGGGAGGAAGUCGCACUUGAUCACAAAAUAAGCGUCUGAAAGUAGAGUAAAAAGAUUAAAAUAGAGACUCUUUCAUGUAUGUUGUUAAUUAUGUCUAGAAUGAUACUUUACCUCGACUCGUCCACCUGGUACGGGCGAAGAUAUCUCUGCCUGUAGUCCAUAAUAAACGAAGGAAAUUAAACUCAUGUAAUUGCUACAAAACUGAUCGUAGUAAAGCGACAAUGUUUGUAUAAUUUAAAAAAUACCGUAACCGUGGUAACCAGAGCCGUCGAAAGAUGCCAGGUGUUCUACCGCACAGGGCAUCGAGCACCAAAAGGCCUCGUGCCUGAACUGAAUUUUUUUACUAUUUCUCACCCAGCAAAAUAAAAUGUUUGAUGUGUCUGCGUCUAUCUAUAAUUUCAUAAUACAUUCACAAAUGUAGAACAUUAUUUUGUCAAUUUCGAUAAGUCAUAAUGUACGUGCUGCGUGCUCGCUACAGGUCGUGCACGUUCUAUGUACGUAUCUGCUGACUCUGAGGAAGAAUUAAAAAUGGCGGCUGCAGCACGAGAGCUUGAUCGAUUUUGUCGACACGACAUAAAUGAGAAGACAUAAAUGUCAUUUGGUCAAUGUCAAAUGUUUGAACAUCUAAAUAAUAAUAUACAUGAGUAUAGCCUAAUUUUGUUUAUUGAAUGUUGAAGUUCAGCGAGUUGUAAGGAAUCGUACUUCAACAUGUCAAAAUAAAGUGAAUGUUGACUCGAGCCAGGAGGCAUUGAUUUACUGUUAAUGUGUUAAUCCGUCUGAUAUGUCCAAUUCAGUGUACAGUUCAUUUGAAUGAUAAAGUUUCCAUUUUAAAUGAGGCUGUUAAAUGUACUUAACGAAGAGACGCGAAGGCAUUACUGAUCAAAUAAGAGGCCAUCCCUCCCCGAUCUGAAUAUAUCUAAUGUAGUGGCUGCCGGUCAAUAGGGGGCGCUGGGGCGCCUCCCCCUUAAAGUUUGCCAAAAAAGAAAGCUACUUUAAUAUGGCAACAAUAAGUUAAAUAUAUAUCGCAAAUUAAUAACGAAAUAAAAUAUUUUCGUCGAACUAUUUAACUGUUAGUCGUAUUAUCAUUUAUUAAAAAAUAACGAGUGUUUAUUUAGGUGCGUUAAUUUUUUGGAAGCAUGUGAUUUGAGGCUGAGUUCUAAUUGGCUUGUUUCAACCCUCCCACUUUUGUUGUAAGCGAAUCAAUAUUGUUUUUAUAUUUUUGGCCUCAUGUGAUUGGACCGUUCUCAACACUUCUCAUUACCGCUCAGCAUCAGGUUGCCAUUUGACUGACAGCAGGUACUGAUUAAUGUGGAAGCAAGCGAAAUUAUCUCGAGAUGACAGAAAAUUCGGUUUUAACUUUACAAGAAUACCCGUUCAAAAGACGUUCGGAUGAAGAAAAAAAACGCCUCAAGGAGUUUGGAUAACCGCGGGAUGUUCCGUGGCUUGGUCGACUUUGCUUUACUUGAUGGAGUUUUGAAAGAGCACCUAGAGAAUGCCACUGUGUUUAAGGGAACUUCGAAAACCGUGCAGAACGAGCUGUUGGACUGUAUGUUGUCUGUUAUGAGGGAACACGUAAUCCAAGAAGCACAAAGCAGUGGUUUUCUUUCAAUCCAGGCCGACGAGACCACUGAUAUUGCCACACAGUGCCAAUUUGUGCUGCGCUACAUUGAUGCCAAACGUAACUACAGAAGAGUUUUUUUUGCUUAUAUACCUCGAUAGUGCCACCUUGCUUCAAGCAGACAGGUUUGAACAGUACACAGUGGCGUUUCCUCCAGAUGCACUGAGUGGGACUUUGAAGGCCUAUCCAGUGCUCAAUGGGAGUAAGCUAAAGACAAGUCUUUUCAGAGUCUGUCACUCUCCUAAAGAUCCUCAUCACCACACCCAUGACCACAGAAGAGGCUGAGAGGUGUUUCUCAACUUUGAAAAGAGCUAAGACUUUUCUGAGAAAUAGCAUGACCCAGGAUAGGUUAAAUGCAUUGGCCAUACUGUCAGUGGAGAAGAGAAAGGUGACUGAGAUAAUUGACUUUAACAAGAAGGUCAUUGAGAAAUUUUCCAGAAAGUCAGAAAGAAAGGAGAGCAAAAUUUAUUUUCAAAUAGUGUUACUGGCCAAUGAUUAGGUAAAUGUUUUUUUUUUAAUGGUUUCCUUGAUUACUUCAUUACUGAUAAUAAACCCACAUUCAAUCAAA